rnacentral:rRNA from 1 species
GCUAAGGGGCGGCUACCUGCAAGUCGAGCGGUGAGUGGAGCUUGCUCCAUGAUUCAGCGGCGGACGGGUGAGUAAUGCCUAGGAAUCUGCCUGGUAGUGGGGGACAACGUUUCGAAAGGAACGCUAAUACCGCAUACGUCCUACGGGAGAAAGUGGGGGAUCUUCGGACCUCACGCUAUCAGAUGAGCCUAGGUCGGAUUAGCUAGUUGGUGAGGUAAAGGCUCACCAAGGCGACGAUCCGUAACUGGUCUGAGAGGAUGAUCAGUCACACUGGAACUGAGACACGGUCCAGACUCCUACGGGAGGCAGCAGUGGGGAAUAUUGGACAAUGUGCGAAAGCCUGAUCCAGCCAUGCCCGCGUGUGUGAAAAAAGGUCUUCGGAUUGUAAAGCACUUUAGUUGGGAGGAAGGGCAGUAAGUUAAUACCUUUGCUGGUUUUGACGUUACCACCAAAAUAACCCCCGGGCUAACUUCCUACGGCAACCCCCGGCGGUAAUAGG